rnacentral:rRNA from 1 species
CCCUUAGAUGUUCUGGGCUGCACGCGUGCUACAAUGGCGCUUGCAACAAGUCUUGCCAACCCGAUAGGGUGAGCGGAUCUUUGAAGAGGCGUCGUGAUCGGGACAGUUGAUUGCAAUUAUUCGACUCGAACGAGGAAUUCCUUGUAAUCGCGAUUCAUCAUAUCGCGCUGAAUACGUCCCUGCCCUUUGUACACACCGCCCGUCGCUCCUACCGAUUGAGCGAUCCGGUGAAUGCUUUGGACUGGCGUCAGAAGCGGUUCGCUCCUGACACUACGAAAUUUUGUAAACCUUAUCGCUUAGAGGAAGGAAAAGUCGUAACA